GACGAACGCUGGCGGCGUGCUUAACACAUGCAAGUCGAACGGAAAGGCCCUGCUUGCAGGGUACUCGAGUGGCGAACGGGUGAGUAACACGUGGGUGAUCUGCCCUGCACUUCGGGAUAAGCCUGGGAAACUGGGUCUAAUACCGGAUAGGAGCCAUUUUUAGUGUGAUGGUUGGAAAGUUUUUUCGGUGUAGGAUGAGCUCGCGGCCUAUCAGCUUGUUGGUCGGGUAAUGGCCUACCAAGGCGGCGACGGGUAGCCGGCCUGAGAGGGUGGACGGCCACAUUGGGACUGAGAUACGGCCCAGACUCCUACGGGAGGCAGCAGUGGGGAAUAUUGCACAAUGGGCGCAAGCCUGAUGCAGCGACGCCGCGUGGGGGAUGACGGCCUUCGGGUUGUAAACUCCUUUCGCUAGGGACGAAGCUUUUUGUGACGGUACCUAGAUAAGAAGCACCGGCUAACUACGUG
rnacentral:rRNA from 1 species